CACACUCGGCCGCCUCACCAUGUGAUUCCCUGUGCUGCCUCCAGACUCUGUCAAGUCCCCACCAGCAAGAAGGCCCUCACCAGAUGCAGCCCUAGACUUUGGACUUCUCAGCCUUUGUACCUGUAAGAAAUAAAUACCUUUUCUGUAUAAAUUACCCAGUUUCAGGUAUUCUGUUAUAAGCAACAGAAAAUUGACUGAGACAAUACGUAUAUUCUAAUUGUGUUCACUUUUCUUUCAUCUAGACUUACCAGAAGUUUACUUCUCUGGUUGGCUUUUCAAGGAAGCUUUUGAAUUUCACUUCUAUUUUUUCUAUUAAUGCAUUCAUUAUUAGUGAAGUAUUUUGUAAUCAUUUUUCAAACAGAUUGGGUGUUUUUUUUUUCUCAUUUCAAUAUGUAGUUCACUUAUGUUAAUUAUUUAGGGCUUACAUUUUUCUCUGUUCUCAACCUUCAUCAGAUUCCGUAACACUUGAUACGUUGUAAGGUUUCUGUUUUCAUUCAUUAUACACCUUCCCCACCCCAGGCCUUUUCAUUACUUUCAACACAGUCUCGUAUUAGGAUUUAUGUUUUUUAAAACAAUUAUUUAGGAGAAUAGAAUAGUUUUUUUCUCCUUGUAUUGGGUUUUUUGUUUGUUUAGAUGUCUGUUGUUUCUGUGAUGGCUUUGUUUUAAUCUGUGCUUGGAGAGUGCUCUCUCAUUGCUACUUUGGAGAAUGUAUUAUUCUUUGGCCUAGUAUGAUUGUGUGUGUACAUUUGGGGACAAAAUGUUUUUGUGGAGAUAAUGUAGACUUAAAAUUUUAAAUCCGUAGCUGUAUUUUCGUCACAAUGAAAAUUUGAUGUCCUUAGUAAGCCCCGAAUAGAAAGCCUUGACUUGCUUUUUGAGCAUAGUUAACAGUGUUGAGAUAAGAGAGGUUUGCUGGCAGUUGCACUGAUGGCUGCACUGUUGUCCAGUGGGCCCAGCUGGGUGUACAGCUCGCCGUAUAAACAGAAAUCUAGACACAGGUCCCUAGAAGCCUAAUCUGUGACCUAGACCCUGUCUCUGAGGUACUCUUACCAGAAAGUUAAUCUGUUAGAGGAUCUUUCAUCAGCAUAAAAGGCAGAAAUAAUUUUCUAAAUGCUGUUGAUAAAAUGUGAGUGCAUGCUGCUUCAUUCGAUUAUGGAAACUGAGCAUUGGAGACUUAUUCUCCUUUUUAACACCACUUGCCUCCAGUAACUUACACUAAUUGUCAUCUAUACCAAGCCUUUGAAAAUUUGUAGUUUUUGUAAGUUUUUAGGAAAUAUGCAUGCUAAUUAGAUAAUGCCUAAAUUAUGUUGCUUUUCAUGUGAAUUUAGUAAAGUCAUUUAAGACCCGUUGGCUUAGUUUUUCAUGAGACUUUCUAAACAUGCUUAAUCUCUGCAUACUAUUUUAAUAAUAAUGGCAUUUCAGUUUAAAACAAAUUAAAAAUGGAAAGUCAAUGUUUUCCCUCCACUAAUACAACUCUUAACUUAUGGUUGUAAUAAACAGUGAUUUUUUUUUUUUUUUUUUUUCUAAGAGACAGGGUCUUGCUCUUUUCCCAGGCUUGAGUGCAGUGGAGAAAUUGUAGUUCACUACAGCCUUAAACUCCUGGGCUCAAGGCAUCCUCCUGCCUCAGCCUCUUGAACAGCUAGGACUACUUGCUUGUGCUGCCAUACCCAGCUAUUUCGGAUCAUGAGGUCAAGAGAUCGAGACCAUCCUGGCUAACACAGUGAAACCCCGUCUCUACUAAAAAAUAGAAAAAAAUUAGCUGGGCGUGGUAGUGGGUUCCUGUAGUCCCAGCUACUCGGGAAGCUGAGACAGGAGACUGGCGUGAACCUGGGAGGUGGAGCUUGCAUUCCCUUGCAUUUAGCCCUCAUGCCAAUCAUAUGCUUGUCAUAGUGUGCUCCUUAUAUGUUUUGGGUACUUCAUCAUUUUCUAGUUGUAAUCUCAGUCUUGAGAGCAGGCUCAGACGUUUGCUUCGAUUCUUUCACUGGCAAUCACGGAGACUUGACAUUGUUUCAUUUAGGGGACUGUACAUUUCCUCAUGGGGCAUGCAGUUUGUGUUGGAGAUACAGAAAGCUUCAUCUUGAACUUGGUGCUUCUUCCUGGAACAGUAAUUUUAUUUCAGGUUUGUGGGAGAGGAAGAGGAGGGACCUUGUUUUUUUUUUGCAAACCAUGACAUUCCCUGUACGUACCAUGUACCUGGUGCAUGAUAAAUAACUGUUAAAUAGAUUUCUAUACUAUUAACAGAAAGCUUGUAUUGUGUCCGGAAUUGGUUCCUUCAGGUGGUUUCUUGGUCUCACUGACUUCAAGAAUGAAGCCAUAGACCCUCACGCAUUUGAUGUGUUACUCAACUCUCUUUGGGCUUGUGUGCCUCUCCACCCUUGUGGUUAUUCUCCUGCCUCUGUAACCACUCAGUGUCUUCUUCCAUGUCCCUUGACCCUUCACUGUGUCUUCUACUGAUUCCCCUUAGAACUUUCAUUUACCCCUGGAGCUUCAACCAUCAUCUUCAGAUCUCAAGCCUAAAAAUGAGUAUUGUUCCAUUACAUUUCCCUCAAAAACAUUUCUUUUUCCUUUCAGAAUGAUGGUCACUAUACUGGAUGGACUUCUGAACUAGUGAAUUACUUUCAUCUUUUGAUCACACUAGGAAAUUGUCCACGGAGUUGAAAUAUUUAUUGCAGUAAUUUCUGG
rnacentral:lncRNA from 1 species